rnacentral:rRNA from 1 species
UACGUAGGGUGCGAGCGUUGUCCGGAAUUAUUGGGCGUAAAGGGCUCGUAGGCGGUUUGUCGCGUCGGGAGUGAAAACCUUGGGCUUAACUCAGGGCUUGCUUUCGAUACGGGCAGACUAGAGGUAUGCAGGGGAGAACGGAAUUCCUGGUGUAGCGGUGAAAUGCGCAGAUAUCAGGAGGAACACCGGUGGCGAAGGCGGCUCUCUGGGACGGUACUGACGCUGAGACGCGAAAGCGUGGGGGAGCGAACAGG